rnacentral:misc_RNA from 1 species
CAUUCAGCAGCUUUUUUUUUACUUUUCAAGUAGCAAGAUUUACUCUUACAUUUCCAAACCUGCUUAACAGUCCUUACACUUCGUGGCAUAGAAUACUGUAUUUUUUCCUUUGGAAUCCAGCAUUUUCUGUAGCGUCAUAAUUAUAAGGAAAGGUCUGAAAAAUAAACUAUUUAGAAUGCAGUUCUUAAUGAAGAUACUAAUGCUAUCGUUUUUCAUUAAUUCAGGGAAUGCUGAUUUGCAAGCAGCCAUAGAUCGCUCGCUUUCUCUUCUCAAUGUUUCUUCAGAUGUCUGCAUUACCCAUGGAUGUGUGAAAACAGCUGCUGAUAUCUUAUCCAGCUUAGACGAAACUGUGGAUCCUUGCGAUGACUUUCACCAAUUUGCCUGUGGCGGCUGGUUGAAAACACAUCUCGUUUCUGACAAAUCUGAUAUCUUCUCCUUACUUCAAGAUGUCCUCAACCGCAAGUUCUUAAAUCUCUUAGAAAUGGAGCUGACGGGAGAUGAACCUGAUUUCAUUCAAAAGAUAAAAGGAAUGUAUGAAACCUGCAUGGAUCUUGAGAGAAUCAACGUGACGGGCAGCGAACCUCUGAAGAAGGCCCUGACGGAUCUUGGAGGCUGGCCAGUCGUGGAAGGAGAAAACUGGAAUUCCACCUCCUUCACAUGGCUUGAUACUCUCGUUCGGCUUCGCCACAUGGGUUUCAAUCAUAAUAUACUGAUGAAUAUUUCUGUAACUCAAACAGGUCAUAUUAGGAGACCGACUUACAUUAUAAAGCUGGACCACCCACUGUUAGGAACAUCACGUCAUUUCCUGAUGUAUGAAUUAGAUCAUUUCUUCUUAGAAAGCUACUUCAAUUUGAUGGUGGAAACAGCUAAUCGAUUGGGCGCAAAUCUUUCUCACAUAAAUCAAAGUACCUUGAUCGAAGAACUGAAAAAAGUGCUCAGUUUUGAAGCUAAUCUUGCCAUUAUCUCUCUGCAGAGUGAACAAAAUUGGACAAGGAGUAGUCCGUGUCGCAGAUGCACUAUAAAGAAACUUAAGGAUAAUUUCCCACAGAUUGACUGGAUCAGGUUUUUCACUGACUUGCUGAAUCAUGAAGUCACUGAAAACGAACCCUUGAUGAUUAACGAUCUAAAUCUUAUCAUUAGGCUCAUUGAUUUCAUUACAAAGGCAGAUAAAAGGGUAGUCGCUAAUUACAUGCUGUGGAGAGCUGUUCACGAAUCCUUACCCUUGAUGCCUAAAGAUUGGAAUCCUGUGCUUCGGGAACACAUCUCAGCAAUCCCAUUACAUAAUGCGAGAAAGGCUCGUAAAAGACAAUGCCUUUCUACCAUUAGUGAAAAUUUAGGAGUUGCUCUUUCUUCCUACUAUGUGGCGCAGUAUUUCAAAGAAGACAGCAAGAAAGACGUAGAAGAAGUGAUACAGUACAUUAAUACAGAAUUCUUAAAUAUGCUACAAAAUAACGAGUGGAUGGACAACAUAACUAAGGAAAAGGCAAUAGAAAAGGCUGAAGCCAUAACAUAUAAUAUUGGAUAUCCGAAAGAACUGAAGAAUAAUUCUUAUAUUUCUUUCCUGUAUACUAAUGUGACGCUUAACAACGAAAGUUAUUUCGAUAACAUGCUAAAUCUACGCAAAUGGUCAAUGGACAACUCUUUCUCUCUGCUUCGGAAAACUAAGCCAGGAAAUGAGUGGGAGAAAUAUUCAGUAGGAGCUGAUUUUAAGCCUGCUUAUGAUAAAUUCAAGAACACCUUAAAACUUCCCGUAGGACUGUUCCAACGUCCCGUAUUCAACAAUAAUCAUCUUCGCUACCUGAAUUUUGGAGCUAUUGGUUCCCUGAUUGCUCAUGAAAUUACACAUGGAUUUUUUCAUAAAGGGCGUCUGUUUAAUAAAGAUGGCAAAGUGGUGAGCUGGUGGAGCGACGAAACGAAUCGGCGUUACAAUCGGAAGGCCGUGUGUAUCACAGAGCAGUAUAAUAAUUUCACUGCUUUUAAUGGAAGUACCCAGUGACAAUACAGUCACCGAAAGUAUAGCUGAUCAUGGAGGCCUGAAAGCAGCUUACCUGGCCUACAAGUCGUGGGUAGGAAAUCAUACCCAAGAACUAAAGUUACCGGGAUUGAAUUAUACACCGAAUCAGUUGUUCUUU